ACAGCACUCUUGCCCCCACUGGAAACUGCGCGGCUUUCUAUCACCUGUUAGCUUGGUCUGUUUGCAGACUUGACUCACUGAGGUGCUGCUAUAUAGGCCUUUGUCCCCGUCCUCCCCCCCGCCCCGUCGCUGUCCACACCUCCCGGCAGCCAGGCCAGGGCCUCGCCCUGCAUCCUUGGGGAAGUUGCAUCACGCUCCAGGCUCGGCUUCCUUAUCCGGAAGCCAGAAGUGACGACACAUUCCCUCACAAAGCUGCCGAGUGGGGCCCGUCUCUCAUCGCUGACAUCCUGAAAAUUAAAGGCUUGAAAUGUGACAACUGUAACAUGCGCCACCUGGGAGAAGCUCACAGCUAUUCAAACUUGAGAGGACGGGAUCCAGCCCACCUCUGAAUUACGCUGUGGCCUGUUUCGGAGGUUCUCAGAAACUCCGCUCCACGAAGAGGCUGAGUGGCUGACAGAAGUCAGCCUGGAUGCCACACAAAUGAGCCGUUGUUGGAGGCGGAAGACAGCACCUCGGCAGAGGUUACUCACAACCCUGCCUUUUUCUCGAAGUCGCAGGCGACCGAGCAGUCAAAGCCCCCAGUUCGCGGGACCGGCUUCCCCUCCCCAGGCAGGGCGGGCUAACUCAGAUUCUUAAGACAUUGAAGUCAUCCUGCCUGUCGCAGGAAGGAGGUGAAAGGUCUCCCAAGGGCACCACAAGCCCAAGAAAUUAAUCAUCGGGUCUCAUUUCGUGUUAAGCACGCUGGAUCCUCCCAGCCCCCAAAAAUCCUGGCGGGCCAGGCGCAGUGUUGAUUUCUCAUCGAGACACCAGAUGGCGGCAGUACCCACUUCAAAUGCAACAACAAAGUCAGGCACGCGCACCCCAACUGAAGACUUUUAAUCCGGUACAGUCGCUACACCGCUGUCCCUACCGCGCACCCAACUCUGGGAUGGCCCCUGCAGAUGGACUGGCGCUUGGCGUCGUGCUAUCUUAUCCCACGCCCAGGGAAAUCCCACUCACAGGACGUGCCAUCUCCCCAGCAGAUAGCGACAAAAACGGAAACCCCCCUGCUGCCCCUGGAGAAAGCGUCCCAAGUGUGGGCAGCUGGGAAAGCAAGGGUGGCCAUUUUAAACGCCGCCAGGGGCCCAGGGAGAGAGCGAGAAGAAAGGAGACGGAAAAGCGGGGCCCGCAGACCCGUGGAAAGCACAGCGUCCCGCUCGCUCUGCACAGCGGGCCCAGGGCUGGCGGAAAUUCCUGGCGAGCAAGCGCCAUCUCCGGACUCCUGAACAAGCGGAUCCAAAUUUCCAGAAAACAGAUUCUGUGGGGUCAAAACUCUAAAUAGGUACAGCCGUGGCCAGCAGCGCGUGUUUCAAAGAAAAACCUGCUCCCUUCCAUCCCAGUGCCUGAGUAAGCGAUUCGAGGCUCUUCCUCGAAAUUCAUCCGUCCUCCAUUGGCCACCUCCAACUUCUUUCUCUAGAAAUCAUUGGGAGGGGAGCUUCAAAAAAA